AUUGAACGCUGGCGGCAGGCCUAACACAUGCAAGUCGCACGAGUGGCGGACGGGUGAGUAAUGUCUGGGAAACUGCCUGAUGGAGGGGGAUAACUACUGGAAACGGUAGCUAAUACCGCAUACCAUCGGAUGUGCCCAGAUGGGAUUAGCUAGUAGGUGGGGUAAAGGCUCACCUAGGCCACGAUCCCUAGCUGGUCUGAGAGGAUGAACAGCCACACUGGAACUGAGAAACGGUCCAGACUCCGACGGUGGGGAGCAGUGGGGAAUAUUGCACAAGGGGCGCAAGCCUGAUGCAGCCAUGCCGCGUGUAUGAAGAAGGCCGUCGGGUUGUAAAGUACUUUCAGCGGGGAGGCGUUACCCGCAUAAGAAGCACCGGCUAACUCCGUGCCAGCAGCCGCGGUAUAC
rnacentral:rRNA from 1 species